AACUUGGAACCACCGUGAGCUGGUUUUAGCUGACGAACUACGCCUUCUACUGUCCAAUAUUGCACACCACGACCUUUUCAAAUAAUAUUUCCCAGAAACACAGGCUGCCUGCGGGAAUGUGAAAAGUGAAAGUAACAACCUCAAACGAAAAUAGAUGCGACAUUGGGAGAUACUCGUGUCUUGAAGUAGCCUAUUAGCUUUUUAUUAUUUUGUCGACUUAUGCACCUCACAAGACUUUGCGGUUGUUCAGGCGGAAAGCUCAUUCUGAUCUGCUGGACUUUGCAGUGUUUCUCCAGUAUAGGUUGAACCGAUAUGGCAUGCUGAAAUCAUAUAGCACUGGGCGUCAGGCUGAUAAGUAGCAACCAUACUCCAUGCAGGUGCACAUUGAUUCGGCACACAGAACUUCUACUGACAAUCCCACUGGAGCAGAAAUAGUGAGUCUUCUACGUGAUAUAAAAGAGCCUCCUACGUGAUAAAAUAAUGGAGGAUGACAAGCGGAACACAGACACUCAGACUGAUGACCCUGGCGAGAAAUAUCUGAUCCGAGCUGGGACCAGAACAAUCAAACUCUACACUCGAGUGCCAGGGAAUGUGAAGGACUACUGUACAACUUUGUUGAGUUCACUAGAUGCUAAAAAGCAAACUGAAAAGACGUCAGUGGAAGAGUGUGAUGUCAUCCUGGCUUUCUGCCCCGUUGUGUCUCGGCUUGGAACAGAUGUUGAAGCAGCUCUUGACAAGAUUCCAGAUGCAAAGCCUUGCAUCCUGGUGGUGAUGCAUAUCACAGUUGAUCCAUAUUUUGUUACGCCGAACAGCAGUAGAUUUGCUAAAGGCAGGGGCGUGGACACUGUGGACUAUCUGUGCUAUGAAGACGGGGGAUCAAUUAAGAGUGAAAAAAUCUCUGAAGCAGUUUUUCAAAUCCGCAGACACCUGGAAGAAUAUGCUAAGAAGGAUCAACACAUGCAGACACAUGAAGCUGGAACAGGAAGGAUUCCAGCCAUCAUGUCAGUUUUGUCACAACUCUGGGCUCUUUCCAUGGUUCCUUUCAAAAUGGCAUGGGGAAAGAUUCAAGCCAUCAUUUCAGUUUUGUCACAAAUCUGGGCUCUUCACAUGGUUCCCUUCAAAAUGGCAAGAGACAUUUUUUUCUGGGCAUGGGGAAGGAUUCAAGCCAUCAUUUCAGUUUUGUCACAAACCUGGGCUCUUUCCAUGGUUCCUUUCAAAAUGGCAUGGGGAAAGAUUCAAGCCAUCAUUUCAGUUUUGUCACAAAUCUGGGCUCUUCACAUGGUUCCCUUCAAAAUGGCAAGAGACAUUUUUUUCUGGGCAUGGGGAAGGAUUCAAGCCAUCAUUUCAGUUUUGUCACAAACCUGUAAGUUUUUUUCUGUCCUCUCUCAUUCCCUCUCUCUCUCUCUCUGUCUCUCACUCACUCUCACACACACACACACACACACACACACACAUCAGACUACCACAGGGGUGUAGUCAUUAAGCCCCAAAAACGCUCAAAAGUGCGUUUAAAUCGGGUGCGCAGAGCCCAGGCGACCACACACACACACACACACACACACAAAAUAGGAUUCAGCUUCAUGGGUGCUCUUUAACUUCAGCACACAGAAUAUGUACAACAACACUACACCCUCUUUUGACUCUGAGGAAAGUCACAGGGGAAGGACAAAAGACACGAGGGGUACUGGAACAGUUGACGUUUUCUUUAAUUUGUUAUUUUUCAGUAACAUUUUAUUUGAACCCUGCAUCAUAACACACAUAACCACGUAUGUUAGGUGAAAAUUCACUCUUAAGUUAUCUCAGGACUCCGGAGUUGUAGGUCAGUAUAUUUAUUCAAUAACAAUUGCAAUCGGCCUCACUCACAGCACAAGGAGGAUCAUGAAGCAAUUUCACUAACAUUACACAGGGGUUAUAUACUUAGGAUUUAUUUACUCUGUAUCUAACACUGACGCCAUACAGCAGGAAUAGCCACGCUCGACUCUAAGUCCCUUUGCGUCAUCCCAACUGCUGAGAUACAAUGAUGUCAGUUCUACACAGGGUUGAACUGGCACAGUUCGACCCUUCUUAUCACCUCUGAGCUAGG
rnacentral:lncRNA from 1 species